CCCUGGUGGCUUAGACAGUAAAGCGUCCACCUACAAUGUGGGAGACCCAGGUUCAAUCCCUGGAUCAGGAA
rnacentral:tRNA from 1 species